rnacentral:tRNA from 1 species
ACUCUUUUAGUAUAACUAAUACUAAUGACUUCCACUCAUUUCACCCCAUUGCAACCCUAGGAAAGAGUA